rnacentral:rRNA from 1 species
AGUUCGGAUUGCAGUCUGCAACUCGACUGCAUGAAGCUGGAAUCGCUAGUAAUCGCGAAUCAGAAUGUCGCGGUGAAUACGUUCCCGGGCCUUGUACACACCGCCCGUCACACCAUGGGAGUCGGUAACGCCCGAAGUCAGUGACCCAACCGCAAGGAGGGAGCUGCCGAAGGCGGGACUGGUAACUGGGGUGAAGUCGUAACAAGGUACC